rnacentral:rRNA from 1 species
CCUACGGGAGGCUGCAGUGAGGAAUAUUGGUCAAUGGACGAGAGUCUGAACCAGCCAAGUAGCGUGAAGGAUGACUGCCCUAUGGGUUGUAAACUUCUUUUAUAUGGGAAUAAAACGUUCCACGUGUGGGAUUUUGUAUGUACCAUAUGAAUAAGGAUCGGCUAACUCCGUGCCAGCAGCCGCGGUAAUACGGAGGAUCCGAGCGUUAUCCGGAUUUAUUGGGUUUAAAGGGAGCGUAGGUGGAUUGUUAAGUCAGUUGUGAAAGUUUGCGGCUCAACCGUAAAAUUGCAGUUGAUACUGGCAGUCUUGAGUACAGUAGAGGUGGGCGGAAUUCGUGGUGUAGCGGUGAAAUGCUUAGAUAUCACGAAGAACUCCGAUUGCGAAGGCAGUUCACUGGACUGCAACUGACACUGAGGCUCGAAAGUGUGGGUAUCAAACAGGAUUAGAUACCCUUGUAGUC